rnacentral:rRNA from 1 species
UGGGGAAUAUUGGACAAUGGGCGAAAGCCUGAUCCAGCCAUGCCGCGUGUGUGAAGAAGGUCUUCGGAUUGUAAAGCACUUUAAGUUGGGAGGAAGGGCAGUAAGCGAAUACCUUGCUGUUUUGACGUUACCGACAGAAUAAGCACCGGCUAACUCUGUGCCAGCAGCCGCGGUAAUACAGAGGGUGCAAGCGUUAAUCGGAAUUACUGGGCGUAAAGCGCGCGUAGGUGGUUCGUUAAGUUGAAUGUGAAAGCCCCGGGCUCAACCUAGGAACUGCAUCCAAAACUGGCGAGCUAGAGUAGGGCAGAGGGUGGUGAAAUUGCCUGUGUAGCGGUGAAAUGCGUGGAUAUAGGAAGGAACACCAGUGGCGAAGGCGACCACCUGGGCUCAUACUGACACUGAGGUGCGAAAGCGUGGGGAGCAAACAGG